GACGAACGCUGGCGGCGUGCCUAACACAUGCAAGUCGAGCGAUGAAACCCUUCGGGGUGGAUUAGCGGCGGACGGGUGAGUAACGCGUGGGUAACCUGCCUCAAAGAGGGGAAUAGCCUCCCGAAAGGGAGAUUAAUACCGCAUAAUAUGUUUUAAUCGCAUGAUUGAAACAUCAAAGGAGUAAUCCGCUUUGAGAUGGACCCGCGGCGCAUUAGCUAGUUGGUGAGGUAACGGCUCACCAAGGCGACGAUGCGUAGCCGACCUGAGAGGGUGAUCGGCCACAUUGGAACUGAGACACGGUCCAGACUCCUACGGGAGGCAGCAGUGGGAAUAUUGCGCAAUGGGGGAAACCCUGACGCAGCAACGCCGCGUGAAUGAUGAAGGCCUUCGGGUUGUAAAGUUCUGUCUUCUGGGACGAUAAUGACGGUACCAGAGGAGGAAGCCACGGCUAACUACGUGCCAGCAGCCGCGGUAAUACGUAGGUGGCAAGCGUUGUCCGGAUUUACUGGGCGUAAAGGAUGCGUAGGCGGACAUUUAAGUCAGAUGUGAAAUACCCGAGCUUAACUUGGGUGCUGCAUUUGAAACUGGGUGUCUAGAGUGCAGGAGAGGUAAGUGGAAUUCCUAGUGUAGCGGUGA
rnacentral:rRNA from 1 species